AAAAUUUUAAACAUUAAAAUGAUAUUAUAGCAACAAAUAUAUUGUAAAUUAUAUAUUAAUUGUUGUUAAUAUGUUACUGUAAUAUUUCAAGAUGAUAGAGCUUCUAUAAAAAAAUCAUUAUUAUUUCAAUCAGACAUUUAUACUCAAAUUUUUGAAAUAAGAAACUUUUAAUUGAUGAUGUAAUCACUAACAUAUAACACUGUAUGCUUAUAUAUGUUGGCCAGAUUGUUGUGUGGUAACAUUGUGACUUACCAUCCUGGUUUAAAUCAGAGUCCCACAUCUCCAGUUUUUCAGGAGAGAUAUGUGCUCAGCCCAUUGAACCCCAUCCUUUUUAACCUUCUGAUUGACCCCUAUCAUGAGUGUUCAUCAACCUCUAAUAGAUCCUACAAGUGGUUGCUACGAGAUAAUGUAUAUUUCUUAUGCAAUAUGGCUUCUUAACUAUAUUAACCUAACCAUAUGAUUUAUGUACAAUGUAUUUUAAUUUCUUUGGAUUUAGUGUUAGAAUAAAUUUCAAAUUAAGAACACAUUGUAACUAGAGGAACAUCAGUAUAAUAUAGGUAGUCCUUGACUUAAAGCAAUUUAUCCUUAUUAUGGUGAUGUCAUCAAUAGCAGAAUUUAUUGAUGACAGACCAAUCUCUGACCAAUAGUCUUACGAAAACAUCCUCC
rnacentral:lncRNA from 1 species